AUCAAAAUGGAGUAACCCUGUCCCAUGCUUUUUUUUUAUUUUUUACAUUUUACAUAGAUUGUAUUUUUUACCGUGUAGCACAGCAAACAAAGUAGUUAAUAAGGGGGGGGGGGGACAGUGAGUCUAUGGCUCUGACUGGAGUGGGGAGCUCAGUCCAGCAUUAGGGAGGGGGGGUUGGGGGGGGGCCCAGCAAAGACAUGACUGGUAGGGGGGCUUUGGGGGGGGGGGUGGCAGCGGUACGCAUAUGGAGUAAAGUGGCCUGGAUGUAUUAGUACAUGAGGAUGGUCCAGGUAAUGUAUUCAAAAUGUUUUAUUUGGUCAUACAAAAAGUGUCCCAUUUCUGUGAAAAGCACAUUCAGCAGCAGAAAAGCCCUUCCCGUGAGGUGUUCUAUGGGCGUCUCAGUGAGAGUGAGGUGUUCAGUGGGAGUGUCUCAGAGAGAGUGAGGUGUUCAGUGGGAGUGUCUCAGUGGGAGUGAGGUGUUCAGUGGGCGUGUCUCAGUGGGUGUGUCUCAGUGGGAGUGAGGUGUUCAGUGGGAGUGAGGUGUUCAGUGGGCGUGUCUCAGAGAGAGUGAGGUGUUCAGUGGGAGUGUCUCAGUGGGAGUGAGGUGUUCAGUGGGCGUGUCUCAGUGGGUGUGUCUCAGUGGGAGUGAGGUGUUCAGUGGGAGUGUCUCAGUGGGAGUGAGGUGUUCAGUGGGAGUG